rnacentral:rRNA from 1 species
GAUGAACGCUGGCGGCGUGCCUAAUACAUGCAAGUCGAGCGAACGGACGAGAAGCUUGCUUCUCUGAUGUUAGCGGCGGACGGGUGAGUAACACGUGGAUAACCUACCUAUAAGACUGGGAUAACUUCGGGAAACCGGAGCUAAUACCGGAUAAUAUUUUGAACCGCAUGGUUCAAAAGUGAAAGACGGUCUUGCUGUCACUUAUAGAUGGAUCCGCGCUGCAUUAGCUAGUUGGUAAGGUAACGGCUUACCAAGGCAACGAUGCAUAGCCGACCUGAGAGGGUGAUCGGCCACACUGGAACUGAGACACGGUCCAGACUCCUACGGGAGGCAGCAGUAGGGAAUCUUCCGCAAUGGGCGAAAGCCUGACGGAGCAACGCCGCGUGAGUGAUGAAGGUCUUCGGAUCGUAAAACUCUGUUAUUAGGGAAGAACAUAUGUGUAAGUAACUGUGCACAUCUUGACGGUACCUAAUCAGAAAGCCACGGCUAACUACGUGCCAGCAGCCGCGGUAAUACGUAGGUGGCAAGCGUUAUCCGGAAUUAUUGGGCGUAAAGCGCGCGUAGGCGGUUUUUUAAGUCUGAUGUGAAAGCCCACGGCUCAACCGUGGAGGGUCAUUGGAAACUGGAAAACUUGAGUGCAGAAGAGGAAAGUGGAAUUCCAUGUGUAGCGGUGAAAUGCGCAGAGAUAUGGAGGAACACCAGUGGCGAAGGCGACUUUCUGGUCUGUAACUGACGCUGAUGUGCGAAAGCGUGGGGAUCAAACAGGAUUAGAUACCCUGGUAGUCCACGCCGUAAACGAUGAGUGCUAAGUGUUAGGGGGUUUCCGCCCCUUAGUGCUGCAGCUAACGCAUUAAGCACUCCGCCUGGGGAGUACGACCGCAAGGUUGAAACUCAAAGGAAUUGACGGGGACCCGCACAAGCGGUGGAGCAUGUGGUUUAAUUCGAAGCAACGCGAAGAACCUUACCAGAUCUUGACAUCCUUUGACAACUCUAGAGAUAGAGCUUUCCCCUUCGGGGGACAAAGUGACAGGUGGUGCAUGGUUGUCGUCAGCUCGUGUCGUGAGAUGUUGGGUUAAGUCCCGCAACGAGCGCAACCCUUAAGCUUAGCUGCCAUCAUUAAGUUGGGCACUCUAAGUUGACUGCCGGUGACAAACCGGAGGAAGGUGGGGAUGACGUCAAAUCAUCAUGCCCCUUAUGAUUUGGGCUACACACGUGCUACAAUGGACAAUACAAAGGGCAGCGAAACCGCGAGGUCAAGCAAAUCCCAUAAAGUUGUUCUCAGUUCGGAUUGUAGUCUGCAACUCGACUACAUGAAGCUGGAAUCGCUAGUAAUCGUAGAUCAGCAUGCUACGGUGAAUACGUUCCCGGGUCU